CCUACGGGUGGCAGCAGUCGAGAAUCAUUCACAAUGGGGGAAACCCUGAUGGUGCGACGCCGCGUGGGGGAAUGAAGGUCUUCGGAGUGUAAACCCCUGUCAUGUGGGAGCAAAUUAAAAAGAUAGUACCACAAGAGGAAGAGACGGCUAACUCUGUGCCAGCAGCCGCGGUAAUACAGAGGUAUCAAGCGUUGUUUGGAAUCACGUGGCGUAAAUCCUGCGUAGGCUGUUUCGUAAGUCGUGUGUGAAAGGCGCGGGCUCCACCCGCGGGCGGCACAUGAUACUGCGAGACUAGAGUAAAGGAGGGGGAACCGGAAUUCUCGGUGUAGCAGUGAAAUGCGUAGAUAGCGAGAGGAACACUCGUGGCGAAGGCGGGUUCCUGGACAUUAACUGACGCUGAGGCACGAAGGCCAGGGGAGCGAAAGGGAUUAGAUACCCCAGUAGUC
rnacentral:rRNA from 1 species